CUACGGGGGGCUGCAGUGAGGAAUAUUGGUCAAUGGGCGCAAGCCUGAACCAGCCAUGCCGCGUGCAGGAUGACUGCCCUAUGGGUUGUAAACUGCUUUUGUACAAGACGAACCCUUCUACGUGUAGAAGUUUGACGGUAUUGUACGAAUAAGGAUCGGCUAACUUCGUGCCAGCAGCCGCGGUAAUACGGAGGAUCCAAGCGUUAUCCGGAUUUAUUGGGUUUAAAGGGUGCGUAGGCUGUUUUGUAAGUCAGUGGUGAAAUCCUGCAGCUCAACUGCGGAACUGCCAUUGAUACUGAAGACUAGAGUAUGCGUGACGUUGGCGGAAUGCGACAAGUAGCGGUGAAAUGCAUAGAUAUGUCGCAGAACCCCAAUAGCGAAGGCAGCUGACGAAAGCAUUACUGACGCUGAUGCACGAAAGCGUGGGUAUCGAACAGGAUUAGAUACCCGUGUAGUC
rnacentral:rRNA from 1 species